rnacentral:tRNA from 1 species
AGGUAGCUCGUCGGGCUCAUAACCCGAAGGUCACUGGUUCGAGUCCAGUUCCCGCUACUA